AUGAGGGAGAGAAAGUGGCCAGGGAAUCCUUGUUGUUCCUUCUGCAGGGAGGUAGAAACUUCUAACCACCUUUUCUUCACUUGCCCCAUUGCUAGGGUGGUUUGGAGAUCUAUUGGGGUGGUGCUAGGCACUGACAUGUGCCCUAACAACUAUUGGUAGUAUUUCGCCUGGUGCAAUAAAUUUCUCCCUGGCAAAGAUACCUUCUUAUUGGGGUUUAGUGCUACUUGUUGGGCCAUCUGGCUGGCGCGCAAUCGUGCUACCUUUGAGAAAAAACAGAUUAAGACUCCUUUUGAGAUUGUUUUCUCCCUCUGUUCAUUUCUUUUGUACUGGACAGGUUUACAGAAAGGAGAGGCGGCUGGAGAACUUCGCGCAGGUGCAGAGAUGAUCAAGAACGGCACGCUGCAGCUGAUGAAACUGUGCGACUCCGUCAAGCAAACGAUCCAGACAUGA
rnacentral:rRNA from 1 species